GAUGAACGCUGGCGGCGUGCCUAAUACAUGCAAGUCGAGCGAACAGACGAGGAGCUUGCUCCUCUGACGUUAGCGGCGGACGGGUGAGUAACACGUGGAUAACCUACCUAUAAGACUGGGAUAACUUCGGGAAACCGGAGCUAAUACCGGAUAAUAUAUUGAACCGCAUGGUUCAAUAGUGAAAGACGGUUUUGCUGUCACUUAUAGAUGGAUCCGCGCCGCAUUAGCUAGUUGGUAAGGUAACGGCUUACCAAGGCAACGAUGCGUAGCCGACCUGAGGGGGGGAUCGGCCACACUGGAACGGAAACACGGUCCAUACUCCUACGGGAGGCAGCAGUAGGGAAUCUUCCGCAAGGGGCGAAAGCCUGACGGAACAACGCCGCGUGAGGGAUAAAGGUCUUCGGAUCGUAAAACUCUGUUAUUAGGGAAGAACAAAUGUGUAAGGAACUAUGCACGUCUUGACGGUACCUAAUCAGAAAGCCACGGCUAACUACGUG
rnacentral:rRNA from 1 species